UGCAUUUAUUUAUCGCCAAAUCACAUGCGAGGUUCUCCAAACUAUUUCAGAACCAAAGGAUAGUUGAACAUAAUGUUUCCUGGAGAACCGAAAAGUAGAGCAUGAGAGACCUCACUCCUACUCCAUCCGUGGCAAUAAAACACCCAAGGCAGGUCCUGUCAAGUGCAGUGAUCACAAAGAGAGUUGAUGCGUCUGAGUCUGGGACUCGGUGAAGCGAAUACAUAUCCUGAACAUAUAACGCUGAUGCCCUUUGACAGACGGCUCAACAGCUCAAUGACAUCACUGAGUGCGAGAAGCGUGGUAUAAAAAGCUCUUUACGGCCAGUCAUCAUCAGCAUCCAGUCAGUUCGGAGGCUGCACUACACUUUAUUCCACCAGGCAGUACCGGUCAUCUUACUGGGAUGUAACUGCACUGCCAAUAGCGUGGAGUCUUCCUCUCCUGAGACUAGGAAUAUUUCGAAUUGCACACUUCUCUUGUUGUAAUCAAGUGCCAUUCUUAUGUUGCCUUGGAUAUGAUACUUCGGCUGAACAGAUUAACUCCCAAUUAUUUCCGGCUAUUACAGAUGCAACUUGCGGGUGAGGCCACAGUCCAGAGUACUGACCGACUCAUUAACUUCUCUGCACUGCUCCUUGCUGUAGGGGGUAUCGGUUUGUCCUCCUUUGGCACCAGAAGAAUGACUGAAGCAACUGAAACUGUGGCAAUAUUUGGAACAGAAGCAUCAGAGCAGAGGAAUGAACUGCCCCAAAGUGAAUAAUGGACAAAUGAACACAUUACUCCCAGAAUAUAAAGUGUUCCCCUCUCUACAUUCUAUUUGAAUAGACAGACUAUAUUAAGAGGAGUAGCUGUUUAAAAUGAUUGGUUAAUGCAACUGAUGCUUCCCCUCCUUCCUGAAGGGGAUCAAUGGGACAGUGAGAAUUUCAGAUAAUUUCUUCGUGUAUGACCACUCCUUCAUUGGGAGAGAGUGUUCACUGAGGUUCAGAGCAAAGUUUCAAUGUGAUCAAGCAGCAACCAAGUUACACAUGGAAUAGAGUCAAAAAGUGUGGUGCUGGAAAAGCACGGCAGGUCAGACAGCAUCCGAGGAGCAGAGGAGUCUAUGUUUCGGGCAUAAGCCCUUCAUCAGGAAUGUUGCUGAAGGGCAUAAGCUCAUGUUGAGGAGAUGUUAUAAGAUGAAAGGCUUAUGCCCGAACAUAGACUGUCCUGCUCCUCGGAUGCUGCCUUAUUUGCUGUGCUUUUUCCAAAGCCACACUUUUUGACUCUGAUUUCCAGCAUCUACAGUCCUCACUUUCUCCUUAGGUAUGGAAAAUCUUAACAAAGUUUAUACUGACAGCAAAUAUGAUCAUUGCAUAUUCGAGUGUUCAGAGUCAAGUGUAACCCAUAAUUCUGUUGGCCUGUGUACCCCAUCAGUCGUAAUACUAGAUCUUUUUAGCAGUGUGACCCACCAGAUUGCUGGGUUCAAGAACCACGUUGCUGAGAGUGGAGGGUUAGUCAUUUGAACUCAUUUCUGUAAAGCACUGUAGCCUCAUUCAGCAUAUUUUCGAUAUUUAGGAGUGGUUUAGAAAUUAAAGGUUGGUGUGUUGCAUCAUUGGAGUUGCUGACCCUUUGGAAAGUUCUAAUGUCUCCAAGAUUUAAAGAUGGCCUCCUGGAUUCUGCGAUAGAUAAAUUUGGGGGAUAAUCAGAGGAGCAUUACUUUUCUUUGAACAUCUGUGACUUUUUUUUGUAUCAAUAAACAGAUGGGGGAUAUGUUAUUUGUUUGGCUGGGGCAGUUGGAGGAGAGAGAUCAUGUGGUAAAGCCUCUGGGUACAUAUCCACUCAGAGUUGGCAACCCUAAUUAUCAGACAAACUGAACUGUUUAAAACCAGCUGUUCAGACAAGGUCAGAAUGAGAAAUGCUGUCAAAUUGCCCCAUGAAAGGCAGAUGUGCCUCAGUUCGGGUCAGACUGUCUAUUGUGUUUGUCUCACAUUUGGGAAAGACUGCAAUCAAGGAGCCUGUAACAAAUCUAACUCAAAUAAGUAGUUAAUAGAUACGUAUAAUUAAUAGGUAACAAGCACAGCACCUUGAACAGCAACUUUGUCUGCAAAGUUGAGGAAAUUGCGACUGCUGUAGUGUUAAUCUCUGCCAGUGAGUGGUGCUAGUGAGCACAUACAUCAGUGACCCCCCACCCCCCCUGCUGGCGAAUUGACGGAGUUUAUGAACGUCUCCUCCUGAUGGAUGGAGAUAGAAGCGAUGGGAACGACGAUAUUGGCAAAGUUUUGUGAGUUAAAUUUGAUUUAAGAAUUGCUCUGAGUUGUGAGGCAAAUGCAUUUUCUUCCAACUUUGCCAUUCAAAUAAACGUUUUAACAUGUUACUUUCAUAUCAGAAUGAAAUGCCCUAAUACUGAAUUAAAAUUGGC